rnacentral:rRNA from 1 species
UACGUAGGGUGCAAGCGUUAAUCGGAAUUACUGGGCGUAAAGCGUGCGCAGGCGGUUUUGUAAGACUGUCGUGAAAUCCCCGGGCCCAACCUGGGAAUGGCGAUGGUGACUGCAAGGCUAGAGUUUGGCAGAGGGGGGUAGAAUUCCACGUGUAGCAGUGAAAUGCGUAGAUAUGUGGAGGAACACCGAUGGCGAAGGCAGCCCCCUGGGUCAAAACUGACGCUCAUGCACGAAAGCGUGGGGAGCAAACAGG